AGGAGCAACAGCCCUAGUGGCGGGGCCAGCUCUGGAGCCCUGGAUUCAGCUCUGGCAGGAACUCCAGAGGUCUCCAUUGCAGGGCCUGGAGGCUCCGGGGCGGG
rnacentral:pre_miRNA from 1 species